AAGCUGAACAUUGCUGUCACAAGAAUUGCAAAACCUUAUGGAAACCCUAAUAUUCUUGCAGAAUUUAUAGCUGGACAAUUAAAGAAUAGAGUUUCCUUUCGAAAAGCAAUGAAAAAGGCUAUUGAAUUAACAGAACAAGCGGAUACAAAAGGAAUUCAAAUACAAAUUGCGGGGCGUAUCGACGGAAAAGAAAUUGCACGUGUCGAAUGGAUCAGAGAAGGUAGGGUUCCCCUACAAACGAUUCGAGCGAAAAUUGAUUAUUGCUCUUAUACAGUUCGAACUAUCUAUGGAGUAUUGGGCAUCAAAAUUUGGAUAUUUCUAGACGAGGAAUAAUUUUACUACUUGUCUUUCCCUUCUAUCCAAUGAUUGAACAAAAAAAGAAAAAUUCAUUCUUUUUCUAAUCAAUCAAGGGGAACAUUUAUAAUUCUUAAUUCUAUAAGGUUGAAUAAAAAUUUGAUUGACCAUUUGAUAUAAUUGCUAUGCUUAGUCCCAAAAGAACCAAAU